rnacentral:rRNA from 1 species
UACAGAGGGGGCAAGCGUUGUUCGGAAUACUGGGCGUAAAGCGUGCGCAGGCGGUGAUGUAAGACAGGUGUGAAAUCCCCGGGCUUAACCUGGGAACUGCAUUUGUGACUGCAUCGCUGGAGUGCGGCAGAGGGGGAUGGAAUUCCGCGUGUAGCAGUGAAAUGCGUAGAUAUGCGGAGGAACACCGAUGGCGAAGGCAAUCCCCUGGGCCUGCACUGACGCUCAUGCACGAAAGCGUGGGGAGCAAACAGG